rnacentral:rRNA from 1 species
CGUAGUCAACAUGCCCAGAGGACGUGGAUAACCUCGGGAAACUGAGGAUAAACCGCGAUAGGUCAUAAUUACUGGAAUGUGUUAUGGCCCAAAUCUAUAUGGCCUCUGGAUUGGACUGCGGCCGAUCAGGCUGUUGGUGAGGUAAUGGCCCACCAAACCUUUUACCGGUACGGGCUCUGAGAGGAGGAGCCCGGAGAUGGGCACUGAGACAAGGGCCCAGGCCCUAUGGGGCGCAGCAGGCGCGAAACCUCUGCAAUAGGCGAAAGCCUGACAGGGUUACUCUGAGUGAUUCCCGCUAAGGGAAUCUUUUGGCAUCUCUAAAAAUGGUGCAGAAUAAGGGGUGGGCAAGUCUGGUGUCAGCCGCCGCGGUAAUACCAGCACCCCGAGUGGUCGGGACGAUUAUUGGGCCUAAAGCAUCCGUAGCCGGUCUUGCAAGUCUUCCGUUAAAUCCACCUGCUUAACAGAUGGGCUGCGGAAGAUACUAUAGAGCUAGGAGGCGGGAGAGGCAAGCGGUACUCGAUGGGUAGGGGUAAAAUCCGUUGAUCCAUUGAAGACCACCAGUGGCGAAGGCGGCUUGCCAGAACGCGCUCGACGGUGAGGGAUGAAAGCUGGGGGAGCAAACCGGAUUAGAUACCCGGGUAGUCCCAGCUGUAAACGAUGCAGACUCGGUGAUGAGUUGGCUUAUUGCUAACUCAGUGCCGCAGGGAAGCCGUUAAGUUUGCCGCCUGGGGAGUACGGUCGCAAGACUGAAACUUAAAGGAAUU